GCGGUGGAGCAUGUGGUUUAAUUCGAUGCAACGCGAAGAACCUUACCUAGACUUGACAUCCCGGGAAUUCUUAGGAACUAAGAAGUGCCUUUCGGGGAGCCCGGUGACAGGUGCUGCAUGGCUGUCGUCAGCUCGUGUCGUGAGAUGUUGGGUUAAGUCCGCUAACGAGCGCAGCCCUCACUGUGUGUUAUACGUGUCACACGGGACUGCCGGUUUUAAGCCGGAGGAAGGCGAGGAUGAAGUCAAGUCAGCAUGGCCUUUAUAUCUUGGGCUACACACACGCUACAAUGGUCUGUACAACAGGUUGCCAAGCCGCGAGGCGGAGCCAAUCCUAAAAAGCUGGCCUCAGUUCAGAUUGCAGUCUGAAACUCGACUGCAUGAAGUCGGAGUUGCUAGUAAACGCAGGUCAGCUAUACUGCGUUGAAUACGUUCCCGGGGCUU
rnacentral:rRNA from 1 species